rnacentral:rRNA from 1 species
GACGAACGCUGGCGGCGUGCUUAACACAUGCAAGUCGAACGGAAAGGCCCUGCUUUUGUGGGGUGCUCGAGUGGCGAACGGGUGAGUAACACGUGAGUAACCUGCCCUUGACUUUGGGAUAACUUCAGGAAACUGGGGCUAAUACCGGAUAGGAGCUCCUGCUGCAUGGUGGGGGUUGGAAAGUUUCGGCGGUUGGGGAUGGACUCGCGGCUUAUCAGCGUGUUGGUGGGGUAGUGGCUUACCAAGGCUUUGACGGGUAGCCGGCCUGAGAGGGUGACGGGCCACAUUCGGACGGAGAUACGGCCCGGACUCAUACGGGAGGCAGCAGGGGGGAAUGUUGCACGAAGGGCGGAAGCCUGAUGCAGCAACGCCGGGUGCGGGAUGACGGCAUUCGGGUUGUAAACAGCUUUCGCCUGUGACGAAGCGUGAGUGACGGUAAUGGGUAAAGAAGCACCGGCUAACUACGU